GAAACCAUCAAAAAAUGUCAUAGUAUAGUAAGGCAUGAAAAAUGGUCAAAAAAUGUCAUAGUAUAGUAAGGUGUCAAAAAUUGUCAAAAAAUGUCAUAGUAUAGUAAGGCAGCAGAAACCCUCAAAAAAUGUCAUAGUAUAGCAAGGCAUGAAAAAUGGUCACAAAAUGUAAGGUGUCAAAAACUGUCAAAAAAAUGCCAUAGUAUAGUUAAGUGUCAAAAAUGGUCAAAAAAUGUAAGGUGUCAAAAACUGUUAAAAAAUGUCAUAGUAUAGUAAGGCGUCAGAAACCCUCAAAAAAUGUCAUGGUAGUAAGGCAUGAAAAAUGGUCCAAAAAAUGUUAUAGAAUAGUAAGGCGUCAAAAACCAUCGAAAAAUGUCAUAGUAGGGUGUCAAAAAUGGUCAAAAAAUGUCAUAGUAUAAUAAGGUGUCCGAAAUGGUCAAAACCAUCGAAAAAUGUCAUAGUAUAGUAAUAUGUCAAAAAAUGUCA